AGCACUAAUGCACCGGAUCCCAUCAAAACUCCGCAGUUAAGCGUGCUUCGGCGAUAGUAGUACUAGGAUGGGUGACCUCCUGGGAAGUCCUCGUGUUGCACCCCUCCAAUUUUAUAUCUCAUUAAAUUUUUUUCUAUUUUUUUAUAUCUCAUCGUAUAACUAAUUAGUUAUUUACGGAAUAAAUCACUCGAAACGUUAUUUGGUCGUAUUUAAAUUCAAAUUCGAGGCUCAAGCGCGAUCAGGGGCAGCCUUUAUAUAAAUAGAAUGCGCAAGAAUUGAUGGGUGCGAUCAUACCAGCACUAAUGCACCGGAUCCCAUCAGAACUCCGCAGUUAAGCGUGCUUGGGCGAGAGUAGUACUAGGAUGGGUGACCUCCUGGGAAGUCCUCGUGUUGCACCCCUCCAAUUUUAUAUCUCAUUAAAUUUUUUUCUAUUUUUCUAUAUCUCAUCGUAUAACUAAUUAGUUAUUUACGGAAUAAAUCACUCGAAACGUUAUUUGGUCGUAUUUAAAUUCAAAUUCGAGGCUCAAGCGCGAUCAGGGGUAGCCUUUAUAUAAAUAGAAUGCGCUAGAAUUGAUGGGUGAGAUCAUACCAGCACUAAUGCAGCGGAUCCCAUCAGAACUCCGCAGUCAAGCGUGCUUGGGCGAGAGUAGUACUAGGAUGGGUGACCUCCUGGGAAGUCCUCGUGUUGCACCCCUCCAAUUUUAUAUCUCAUUAAAUUUUUUUUUCUAUUUUUUUAUAUCUCAUCGUAUAACUAAUUAGUUAUUUACGGAAUAAAUCACUCGAAACGUUAUUUGGUCGCAUUUAAAUUCAAAUUCGAGGCUCAAGCGCGAUCAGGGGUAGCAUUUAUAUAAAUAGAAUGCGCAAGAAUUUAUGGGUGAGAUCAUACCAGCACUAAUGCACCGGAUCCCAUCAAAACUCCGCAGUCAAGCGUGCUUGGGCGAGAGUAGUACUAUGAUGGGUGACCUCCUGGGAAGUCCUCGUGUUGCACCCCUCCAAUUUUAUAUCUCAUUAAAUUUUUUUUCUAUUUUUUUGUAUCUCAUCGUAUAACUAAUUAGCUAUUUACGGAAUAAAUCACUCGAAACGUUAUUUGGUUGUAUUUAAAUUCAAAUUCGACGCUUAAGCGCGAUCAGGGGUAGCCUUUAUAUAAAUACAAUGCGCAAGAAUUGACCGGUGCGAUCAUACCAGCACCAAUGCACCGGAUCCCAUCAGAACUCCGCAGUUAAGCGUGCUUGGGCGAGAGUAGUACUAGGAUGGGUGACCUCCUGGGAUGUCCUCGUGUUGCACCCCUCCAAUUUUAUAUCUCAUUAAUUUUUUUUCUAUUGUUUUUAUAUCUCAUCGUAUAACUAAUUAGUUAUUUACGGAAUAAAUCACUCGAAACGUUAUUUGGUCGUAUUUAAAUUCAAAUUCGAGGCUCAAGCGCGAUCAGGGGUAGCCUUUAUAUAAAUAGAAUGCGCAAGAAUUGAUGGGUGAGAUCAUACCAGCACUAAUGCACCGGAUCCCAUCAGAACUCCGCAGUCAAGCGUGCUUGGGCGAGAGUAGUACUAGAAUGGGUGACCUCCUGGGAAGUCCUCGUGUUGCACCCCUCCAAUUUUAUAUCUCAUUAAAUUUUUUUUCUAUUUUUUUAUAUCUCAUCGUAUAACUAAUUAGUUAUUUACGGAAUAAAUCACUCGAAACGUUAUUUGGUCGUAUUUAAAUUCAAAUUCGAGGCUCAAGCGCGAUCAGGGGUAGCAUUUAUAUAAAUAGAAUGCGCAAGAAUUUAUGGGUGAGAUCAUACCAGCACUAAUGCACCGGAUCCCAUCAAAACUCCGCAGUUAAGCGUGCUUCGGCGAUAGUAGUACUAGGAUGGGUGACCUCCUGGGAAGUCCUCGUGUUGCACCCC
rnacentral:lncRNA from 1 species